UCAGACUUUGACAGUCCCAGCCGCCUUUCC
rnacentral:piRNA from 1 species